GCUUCUUACUCUGUCUCACCUAAAAAACCAUAUUAAUUUCUUCUCUUAUACGGUUGAUCUUUGUUUAUAUUCUUUCAAUUUUAUUUGAUCAUCAGUCAAUCAAUUCCAUCCAUCAAAGAAUUGAUUUAAGGAAAGAUGGAUGAAGAGUACGAUGUGAUAGUGCUGGGGACUGGUCUCAAGGAAUGCAUCCUCAGCGGUCUACUCUCCGUCGAUGGCCUUAAGGUCCUUCAUAUGGACAGGAAUGACUAUUAUGGUGGAGAAUCAACUUCACUCUAUCUUGUUCAGCUCUGGAAAAGGUUUAGAGGAAGUGAUAAGCCUCCAGCUCACUUGGGUUCUAGUAGAGAUUAUAAUGUUGACAUGAUUCCUAAGUUUAUCAUGGCAAAUGGUGCUCUUGUACGGGUCCUUAUUCAUACUGAUGUAACUAAAUAUUUGCACUUCAAAGCUGUUGAUGGCAGCUAUGUGUACAACAAAGGGAAGGUUCACAAGGUGCCAGCAACUGACAUGGAGGCCCUUAAAUCUCCUCUCAUGGGUUUAUUUGAGAAGCGCCGGGCUAGUAAGUUCAUCAAGUUUGUCCAAGAUUAUGAUGAAAAGAAUCCCGAAACACACGAAGGACUGGAUUUGACGAGAGUGACGACUAGAGAGCUCAUUGUAAAGUAUGGUCUUGGUGACAACACUGUCGACUUUAUUGGUCAUGCAUUGGCUCUCCACAGAGAUGACUACUACCUAGACGAACCUGCUUUGGAUACUGUGAAGAGAAUGAAGCUUUAUGCGGAAUCUCUAGCACGUUUUGCAGGAGGAUCUCCAUAUAUCUAUCCUUUGUAUGGCCUGGGAGAGCUUCCCCAGGCAUUUGCUCGUCUAAGCGCUGUGUACGGUGGGACCUACAUGUUGAAUAAACCUGAAUGCAAGGUAGAGUUUGAUGAAGAAGGCAAGGUUAUUGGCGUGACUUCAGAGCGGGAGACUGCUAAGUGUAAGAAAGUCGUAUGUGAUCCUUCUUACUUGCCUAACAAGGUUAGGAAGGUUGGCAAAGUAGCAAGGGCUAUUGCAAUUAUGAGCCACCCUAUCCCAAAUACCAACAAUUCUCACUCAGUGCAGGUUAUUCUGCCUCAAAAGCAGUUGGAUCGCAAAUCAGACAUGUAUCUGUUUUGUUGUUCUAAUUCUCAUAAUGUUGCUCCGAAAGGGAAAUUUAUUGCAUUUGUCUCCACAGAGGCAGAGACUGAUCAACCUGAGAUUGAACUGAAGCCGGGGAUCGAUCUUCUAGGACCAGCAGAUGAGAUCUUCUUUGAGACCUAUGACAGAUAUGAACCUGUCAACGAGCCCUCUCUUGACAAUUGUUUUGUAUCCACAAGUUAUGACGCGACAACUCACUUUGAGUCGACUGUUUUGGAUGUGCUCAAUAUGUAUACAAUGAUUACUGGGAAGGACCAUAGGACUUCGCCAUUGAAUCCGAAGUUCGAAGAAUUGCCCAAAAGGACUGGAUGACAAAAACUGUUACAAACCAAUUUUUCUUAGUCAAAAGUCAAGAGUUGAAUUUUCAAAGUCAAAGUCACAUAGGGACUUAAAUGAAAUAAAUGACUUUAUUGGGACUUGAAUUGACUAAAAUAUUUUAUUGGGGUUUAUUUUACAAUUGACAAUAUAUGAGGGUUAUAUUGGAUACAAUUGGAAGUUGAAAAUUUACUUAUACAUGUUUGGGAAGUUUAGUAUUUAAAUGUUAGCUUAUAUUAGAGAAGAGGGACUUUUCUUGCAAUUUGGAGUUAGUGGGUUUUUAAUGCCUAUGACCAUCACUUUUUCUCUCAUAAAUCACACACUAGAAGAAAGAAAGAACCGGCAGAGAAGAAGAAAAGGAAGGAAAGGAAAAAGAAAGGAAAAGAGAUUUUAAGGAAGGAAUAUAUAUGUUUUCAAGUCAAUAUUUUUGAAUUGGAGAUGCUAUUUACACUAAGGUGGUAACGUGAAAGUUGGGCAAGGCUGGUAAAAUUGAACCAGAUUGCUAUUUAUAGAUCUGUGAGUGGGAAAUCUACGUUUUCAAAAAGAAGAUUUCCUUUUUAUUUUAAAGCAUGUUAAUUACAUGAAAUGCCUUAUUUUCGAGAAUUAGUAAAUGAGUAUGAUUGUUUUGAAAUUAUCAUUUAAAUAAUUGAUGUGAUUAUCUUACUCUAGUGCACUGAGGGGCUACGGCCGUGUACUAGAGUCAUGUAUUUAACUCCUAUACACUGAGGGGCUACAACCGUGUAUAAAGGUAACUCUUAUCCACUGAAGGGCUACGGCCGUGUGUAAGGGUACCUAUUAUACACUGAGGGGCUACAACCGUGUAUAAGGAUGAUUAUGUUAUUUUCAUCUUGUACACUGAGGGGCUACGAUCGUGUACAGAGUGUUGAUCAGACGGUUUAUGUGCAUAUGAUUUUAUAGCUUUCAGAUCAUCAGUAGAUGAUUACAUGGAGUAUAUUUUGAUGUGAAUUUUAAAUAUAUAGCGGAUUAUUAGCUUUCAGCUUACAUUUUCCCGUUUACAGUUCAGCUUAUGGAUUUCUGAUGAUGAUUUUAGCUUAGUGAGUUUGUCUAAUGUUCUCACUCAUCUUGUAUUAAUUAUUAUCAUCUUUCUUUUAUAUAUCAGCUUGAGUCUAAUUUAUGAUUUAGUACCAGAAUUUUGAGUGUAUACGAUGUUAUGAUACAGACAUCAAGAAUAAUGAGUACAUUAAGGUAAAUGUAGCUCUAUGUAUGUAUGACCAGAUUAUAGAAUUCAAUUAUUCAGUUCUAAGAAUAAAGUUUUCAGUUUAUA